rnacentral:lncRNA from 1 species
UACACCAACGAAGGACAAUGCCCUGAACCUCUCGGGGGGACUAUUAUAUGGUGGUGAAAAAUGCCAACUCCCGUUUUUGAGUCCCAGUAGCCGUACCCAGCACCGUGAGGAGGAACAACGGGUACCUGUCAUAUUUGGUUGAUGAGAAACCAACAACCAACACUACAUUUUCCAUAACAACUUCUCAUCCUUCAACACAUUCAGCUUAAUCUCCUUCUUUACCAGCUCCGUUUCUGCCACAAUUAACUAUUAUAUCAUCUCCACCGGCGCAGUUUCCUGAGAUGAUAAAUUACCUCAUCCCUAGUCCCUAGUUCAUGGGAACCCGGGAAAAAUAAUGCUGCCCUUUCUG